AUACGUAGGUGGCAAGCGUUGUCCGGAUUUACUGGGUGUAAAGGGCGUGUAGGCGGAGAUGCAAGUCAGGAGUGAAAUCUAGGGGCUCAACCCCUAAACUGCUUUUGAAACUGUAUCUCUUGAGUGCUGGAGAGGUAGACGGAAUUCCUUGUGUAGCGGUGAAAUGCGUAGAUAUAAGGAAGAACACCAGUGGCGAAGGCGACUUACUGGACUGUAACUGACGCUGAGGCGCGAAAGUGUGGGGAGCAAACAGGAUUAGAUACCCUGGUAGUCCACACUGUAAACGAUGAAUGCUAGGUGUAGGGGGUAUCGACCCCUUCUGUGCCGCAGUCAACACAAUAAGCAUUCCGCCUGGGGAGUACGGCCGCAAGGUUGAAACUCAAAUGAAUUGACGGGG
rnacentral:rRNA from 1 species